rnacentral:lncRNA from 1 species
AAGAGAACUUGCUAUUAAGAGAACUUGCUAUUCUAAGAACUUGCUAUUCUAAGAACUUGCUAUUCUGAAGACUUGCUAUUCUGAUGCCACACUGACUGGAGGAAUUCUGUAACGGGACCAAGCGCCGACAGAAGGCCAUAAUGAAUGAAUCAGAAAUGGGACUUAGUUGCCCAGCUGGACACCUAAGCAUCAGCCAGACUCUUAGGUGUCACGCACACUGAAGAAGUCAAGGAGACAGGCAACAGCCC